rnacentral:rRNA from 14 species
AGCGUCAAAAGGGCGUCUGGUGGAUGCCUUGGCGAUAAGAGGCGAAGAAGGACGUGGCACGCUGCGUUAAGUCUCGGGGAGCUGCGAGCAGGCUUUGAUCCGAGAAUAUCCGAAUGGGGCAACCCACCUUU